UGAGGUUGCUUCAAGUAAAAAGGAAACGGAGAAGAUAAAAUAGAGAAUAAAAUUAUCAUUUUACUUUUUUUUACUGAGUGGAAGAAGACAAAGGAAAAAGGGGCCAAAACAAAUAUAUUAUAGCAUGAAAAUAGAGAUACAUAAAGUAAGAAUGGGCCCCAUGUGUAGUUCUAGUUUCACACUUCAAAAUUAAUUAAAACCACAUUUCAAUUCAUCAAAUUGGAUAAAACCAGCAGGCCCCACAAUUAAAAAACUCAAGGCAAUUGCUUCCUGCACUCGAUCAAUUGUGACUGGCACCCGACAAAUUUUUUAAAAUUCCAUUAUGCCCUUGUCUUGCGCAGAACAACAAUAACACUACGGAAAAAAUUAUCCGCAAGUCAAAUGUCUCUUGCGGAUAAAAAUAUCCGGAGACCAUUCUUCCACAACUGCAGAUAAAAAUAUCCGGAGGCCAUUCUUCCACAACUGCGGAUAAAAAAAUCUGGAAGUCAAGUGCUCACUACAGAUAAAAAUAUCCGGAAGCCAUUCUUCCACAACUGCGGAUAAAAAAAUCCGGAAGUCAAGUGCUCAACUGCGGAUAAAAAUAUCCAGAAGUCAUUCUUCCACAACUGCGGAUAAAAAAAUCCAGAAGUCAAGUGUUCAACUGCGGAUAAAAAUAUCCGGAACCCAGUCCUGAACUGCGGAUAAAAAUAUCCGAAAUACGGAUAAAAAUAUCCGGUAGGCAUGACAGAGUACCUUUCUCUGACGAUGGUUUCUUCUCCGACUUCAGAAGCUGACGGUGACGGCUGCUGCUCUGCCUGCGAUGAUGAAGCUCACUGAUGGUGAAGGAAACC
rnacentral:lncRNA from 1 species